GACGAACGCUGGCGGCGUGCUUAACACAUGCCAGUCGAACGGAAAGGCCCUGCUUUUGUGGGGUGCUCGAGUGGCGAACGGGUGAGUAACACGUGAGUAACCUGCCCUUGACUUUGGGAUAACUUCAGGAAACUGGGGCUAAUACCGGAUAGGAGCUCCUGCUGCAUGGUGGGGGUUGGAAAGUUUCGGCGGUUGGGGAUGGACUCGCGGCUUAUCAGCUUGUUGGUGGGGUAGUGGCUUACCAAGGCUUUGACGGGUAGCCGGCAUGGGAGGGUGACCGGGCACAUUGGGACUGAGAUACGGCCCAGACUCCUACGGGAGGCAGCAGUGGGGAAUAUUGCACAAUGGGCGGAAGCCUGAUGCAGCAACGCCGCGUGCGGGAUGACGGCCUUCGGGUUGUAAACCGCUUUCGCCUGUGACGAAGCGUGAGUGACGGUAAUGGGUAAAGAAGCACCGGCUAACUACGUG
rnacentral:rRNA from 1 species